rnacentral:ncRNA from 1 species
UUUUAAUAAAGGUAAACUUAUCGUGAGGUAAGGACACAAAGCUGAGGAUCUCAAUUUGAGAUAGCCGGCUGCUAAA